UCCCACUAAAGCUCGUUAGGUCUUUUA
rnacentral:piRNA from 1 species